UUCCUUCAGACUUCAAGGAAUCUUUUCUAUAGUAAACAUCCGCAACUGUGUACCCUAAAAAAGUCACAGACUCCACCCUGGUUGAUGAGAACACUGCGGUGCCCAAGAGUGAUGCCAACAUGUUGAAGUCCUUCGGGACUUCGAUGGUGAUGAUCUCGCCCUGCUUGGGUUCAGCUUCGGCUGGCCUUUGCAGGAGGGUGCUGUCAGUCGUCUGACAGGU
rfam:Mycosphaerella graminicola IPO323 chromosome 9, whole genome shotgun sequence.